UUCUCCCUCCUCCGCGCAGCAGUGAGGAAUACCGGUCAAUGGCAGAGAUCCUGAACCAGCCAAGCCGCGUGAGGGAAGACGGCCCUAUGGGUUGUAAACCUCUUUUGUCGGAGAACAAAACCCGGGACGUGCCACCUCCCCCCCUUCCCCUCCCCCCCCUCCCCCCCUCACUCCGUGCCAGCAGCCGCGGUAAUACGGAGGAUGCGAGCGUUAUCCGGAUUUAUUGGGUUUAAAGGGUGCGUAGGCGGUCUGUUAAGUCAGCGGUAAAAUUGCGGGGCUCAACCCCGUCGAGCCGUUGAAACUGG
rnacentral:rRNA from 1 species